rnacentral:rRNA from 1 species
UUUGGUUAAGUUAGAAAGGGCGCACGGUGGAUGCCUUGACACUAGGAGUCGAUGAAGGACGGGACUAACGCCGAUAUGCUUCGGGGAGCUGUAAGUAAGCUUUGAUCCGAAGAUUUCCGAAUGGGGAAACCCACCAUACGUAAUGGUAUGGUAUCCUUAUCUGAAUACAUAGGAUAAGGAAGACAGACCCAGGGAACUGAAACAUCUAAGUACCUGGAGGAAGAGAAAGCAAAUGCGAUUUCCUGAGUAGCGGCGAGCGAAACGGAACAUAGCCCAAACCAAGAGGCUUGCCUCUUGGGGUUGUAGGACAUUCUAUACGGAGUUACAAAGGAACGAGGUAGACGAAGCGACCUGGAAAGGUCCGUCGUAGAGGGUAACAACCCCGUAGUCGAAACUUCGUUCUCUCUUGAAUGUAUCCUGAGUACGGCGGAACACGUGAAAUUCCGUCGGAAUCUGGGAGGACCAUCUCCCAAGGCUAAAUACUCCCUAGUGAUCGAUAGUGAACCAGUACCGUGAGGGAAAGGUGAAAAGCACCCCGGAAGGGGAGUGAAAGAGAUCCUGAAACCGUGUGCCUACAAAUAGUCAGAGCCCGUUAACGGGUGAUGGCGUGCCUUUUGUAGAAUGAACCGGCGAGUUACGAUCCCGUGCGAGGUUAAGCUGAAGAGGCGGAGCCGCAGCGAAAGCGAGUCUGAAUAGGGCGUUUAGUAUGUGGUCGUAGACCCGAAACCAGGUGAUCUACCCAUGUCCAGGGUGAAGUUCAGGUAACACUGAAUGGAGGCCCGAACCCACGCACGUUGAAAAGUGCGGGGAUGAGGUGUGGGUAGCGGAGAAAUUCCAAUCGAACCUGGAGAUAGCUGGUUCUCCCCGAAAUAGCUUUAGGGCUAGCCUUAAGUGUAAGAGUCUUGGAGGUAGAGCACUGAUUGGACUAGGGGUCCUCAUCGGAUUACCGAAUUCAGUCAAACUCCGAAUGCCAAUGACUUAUCCUUAGGAGUCAGACUGCGAGUGAUAAGAUCCGUAGUCAAAAGGGAAACAGCCCAGACCGCCAGCUAAGGUCCCAAAGUGUGUAUUAAGUGGAAAAGGAUGUGGAGUUGCUUAGACAACUAGGAUGUUGGCUUAGAAGCAGCCACCAUUUAAAGAGUGCGUAAUAGCUCACUAGUCGAGUGACUCUGCGCCGAAAAUGUACCGGGGCUAAAUACACCACCGAAGCUGCGGAUUGAUACCAAUGGUAUCAGUGGUAGGGGAGCGUUCUAAGGACAGUGAAGUCAGACCGGAAGGACUGGUGGAGUGCUUAGAAGUGAGAAUGCCGGUAUGAGUAGCGAAAGACGGGUGAGAAUCCCGUCCACCGAAUGCCUAAGGUUUCCUGAGGAAGGCUCGUCCGCUCAGGGUUAGUCAGGACCUAAGCCGAGGCCGACAGGCGUAGGCGAUGGACAACAGGUUGAUAUUCCUGUACCACCUCUUUAUCGUUUGAGCAAUGGAGGGACGCAGAAGGAUAGAAGAAGCGUGCGAUUGGUUGUGCACGUCCAAGCAGUUAGGCUGAUAAGUAGGCAAAUCCGCUUAUCGUAAAGGCUGAGCUGUGAUGGGGAAGCUCCUUAUGGAGCGAAGUCUUUGAUUCCCCGCUGCCAAGAAAAGCUUCUAGCGAGAUAAAAGGUGCCUGUACCGCAAACCGACACAGGUAGGCGAGGAGAGAAUCCUAAGGUGUGCGAGAGAACUCUGGUUAAGGAACUCGGCAAAAUGACCCCGUAACUUCGGGAGAAGGGGUGCUUUCUUAACGGAAAGCCGCAGUGAAUAGGCCCAAGCGACUGUUUAGCAAAAACACAGCUCUCUGCGAAGCCGUAAGGCGAAGUAUAGGGGGUGACACCUGCCCGGUGCUGGAAGGUUAAGGAGAGGGGUUAGCGUAAGCGAAGCUCUGAACUGAAGCCCCAGUAAACGGCGGCCGUAACUAUAACGGUCCUAAGGUAGCGAAAUUCCUUGUCGGGUAAGUUCCGACCCGCACGAAAGGUGUAACGAUUUGGGCACUGUCUCAACCAGAGACUCGGUGAAAUUAUAGUACCUGUGAAGAUGCAGGUUACCCGCGACAGGACGGAAAGACCCCGUGGAGCUUUACUGUAGCCUGAUAUUGAAUUUUGGUACAGUUUGUACAGGAUAGGCGGGAGCCAUUGAAACCGGAGCGCUAGCUUCGGUGGAGGCGCUGGUGGGAUACCGCCCUGACUGUAUUGAAAUUCUAACCUACGGGUCUUAUCGACCCGGGAGACAGUGUCAGGUGGGCAGUUUGACUGGGGCGGUCGCCUCCUAAAGUGUAACGGAGGCGCCCAAAGGUUCCCUCAGAAUGGUUGGAAAUCAUUCGUAGAGUGCAAAGGCAUAAGGGAGCUUGACUGCGAGACCUACAAGUCGAGCAGGGACGAAAGUCGGGCUUAGUGAUCCGGUGGUUCCGCAUGGAAGGGCCAUCGCUCAACGGAUAAAAGCUACCCCGGGGAUAACAGGCUUAUCUCCCCCAAGAGUCCACAUCGACGGGGAGGUUUGGCACCUCGAUGUCGGCUCAUCGCAUCCUGGGGCUGUAGUCGGUCCCAAGGGUUGGGCUGUUCGCCCAUUAAAGCGGUACGCGAGCUGGGUUCAGAACGUCGUGAGACAGUUCGGUCCCUAUCCGUCGUGGGCGUAGGAAAUUUGAGAGGAGCUGUCCUUAGUACGAGAGGACCGGGAUGGACGCACCGCUGGUGUACCAGUUGUUCUGCCAAGGGCAUAGCUGGGUAGCUAUGUGCGGAAGGGAUAAGUGCUGAAAGCAUCUAAGCAUGAAGCCCCCCUCAAGAUGAGAUUUCCCAUAGCGUAAGCUAGUAAGAUCCCUGAAAGAUGAUCAGGUUGAUAGGUUCGAGGUGGAAGCAUGGUGACAUGUGGAGCUGACGAAUACUAAUAGAUCGAGGACUUAACCAUAUAA